AUUGAACGCUGGCGGCAGGCUUAACACAUGCAAGUCGAGCGAGCGGCGGACGGGUGAGUAAUGUCUGGGAAACUGCCUGAUGGAGGGGGAUAACUACUGGAAACGGUGGCUAAUACCGCAUACCAUCAGAUGUGCCCAUAUGGGAUUAGCUAGUAGGUGGGGUAAAGGCUCACCUAGGCGACGAUCCCUAGCUGGUCUGAGAGGAUGAUCAGCCACACUGGAACUGAGACACGGCCCAGACUCCUACGGGAGGCAGCAGUGGGGAAUAUUGCACAAUGGGCGCAAGCCUGAUACAGCCAUGCCGCGUGUAGGAAGAAGGCCUUAGGGUUGUAAAGUACUUUCAGCGGGGAGGCGUUACUCGCAGAAGAAGCACCGGCUAACUCCGUGCCAGCAGCCGCGGUAAUAC
rnacentral:rRNA from 1 species